GCUGUGGCUCAAUGGGAGAGCAUCUGCUUUGCACACAGUAGGUCCAAGCUUCAAUCUCCUGCAUCUCCA